rnacentral:rRNA from 1 species
CCUACGGGAGGCAGCAGUGGGGAAUAUUGCGCAAUGGGCGAAAGCCUGACGCAGCAACGCCGCGUGAGGGAUGACGGCCUUCGGGUUGUAAACCUCUUUCAGCGCUGACGAAGCCUCUUGGGGUGACGGUAGGCGCAGAAGAAGCACCGGCUAACUACGUGCCAGCAGCCGCGGUAAU